rnacentral:rRNA from 1 species
UACGAAGGGGGCUAGCGUUGUUCGGAAUCACUGGGCGUAAAGGCGCGUAGGCGGCUUUGUAAGUCGGGGGUGAAAGCCUGUGGCUCAACCACAGAAUUGCCUUCGAUACUGCAUGGCUUGAGACCGGAAGAGGUAAGUGGAACUGCGAGUGUAGAGGUGAAAUUCGUAGAUAUUCGCAAGAACACCAGUGGCGAAGGCGGCUUACUGGUCCGGUUCUGACGCUGAGGCGCGAAAGCGUGGGGAGCAAACAGG